UUAGAUCUAACUCUUCUUCAAAGAUGAGAAAUAAUUCUUUAGUACUUCUCAAGUACUUAGAGAUAUUUUCAUAGCAAUCCAAUGCUCCCAGCCUGGAUUCAACUAAUAUCUGCUCGUGACUUUCACAGCAAGAUAUACCAAGUCAAGUACAUAGCAUGGCAUACACCUAUGUCGAAGAGGAUAACAGAUCCCUCUUGAAGAUU
rnacentral:lncRNA from 1 species